UCAUCACACAUCAAGCUCCUCUUGACCAAGAACCACGUACGUACACUACUGAUCAACUAAUUAAGCUGUCCUUUGCCUAGCUGGCUAGUGACUCAGUGAGGAUCAAUGGCAUCCCAGCUGGUCUCACUCAUGAAGCGACUGUGGAGCUAUCUUCCCUCUUCUCUUAGCAGUUCCAGGAGCGACCCUCCGCAGCAGAUUCCUGAUCCUACCGGUGACGGUGAUCAUCCUCCAGACGCUCAAGCCGGGCACACUCCCCCCGUUCAGCAGCCUUCACCCCCUCUUCCAGUUUCAGAUCUUGAGCACCUCCCAAGUUCUAACCACAUAGAAUGCCUUGAUGGUGCACUUGAGCCCGAUCUGGCCGGCAACAUGAAGCUCGGCAGUUCCACCAGUUUCCCACGACACAAAAUUUAUGAUCCUGACGGCGGCAAUUAAUCCUUUCACGAAGAAUCCUGAAGGCUUGUAAAACACCAUUAUAUUUCUUUAUUCUCCGGCAUCCUCUGCCGAACGCGGAAUUCAUUGCCAAAUUUUAGCAAUAUCACCACCAUGUUGUUCCCAAUGAGGUUCGAGUGGUCCCAGCUGAUGGGCUAUGGGUUUAUAGUACUAGAUAUGUAGAAUCUCCUUUUGUGUGUUUUAUAUGUGUUCAUUAUGUGAGCUAGCUCCAACAUACAGCUCCAACAUACGAGUAUGAUUAUCUAGGUGGUUUUUGUGGUGGAUGUUUUGUCAUGAGUUGAAUAAUUUCAUAUAUAUUUUUU